rnacentral:rRNA from 1 species
AGAGUUUGAUCAUGGCUCAGGACGAACGCUGGCGGCGUGCUUAACACAUGCAAGUCGAACGGAGAACUUAUUUCGGUAAGUUCUUAGUGGCGAACGGGUGAGUAACGCGUGGGCAACCUGCCCUCCAGCUGGGGACAACAUUCCGAAAGGGAUGCUAAUACCGAAUGUGCUCCCUCCUCCGCAUGGAGGAGGGAGGAAAGAUGGCCUCUGCUUGCAAGCUAUCGCUGGAAGAUGGGCCCGCGUCUGAUUAGCUAGUUGGUGGGGUAACGGCUCACCAAGGCGAUGAUCAGUAGCCGGUCUGAGAGGAUGAACGGCCACAUUGGGACUGAGACACGGCCCAAACGUCCUACGGGAGCA